CUUCAGUGAAGAGAUGAUGACGAGUCUGACUGGAGGUAUCACCUUUGUUCGCGUGGCCCUGCUCUGUGCUGCGUUCUGUGGCACAGUUUUAAGGGUCCCUGCAUCAAAGAACUUCCAAAAGAUGACUUAGAGGCAUUUGUCUGAGAAGG